CAGGGCGCUGGCGGCCCGAGCAUUGUUCACCGCGGCGGCCCAGUGUAGGGCUGUCUUUCCUGGGGAGGCAGAGGCAGGGCAAAGAGAGGGGCCUGACCUGGCAGACUUCUCGGGCAUCAGCAGCCACAGCUGUGUGGAGGGGAGUACGCCCCAUUCUGUCUGGCUCAUUGGGGUUGGCACCAGCUUCAAAGAGGCGUCGAGCAGCAGGUGCCCCCAUUGAGACAUGGGACUGGGAGAAGGGGCAUGGAGAGAAGAGUGGUGAGGAUUUUGGUCUUCACUUGGCUGUCCAGAGCUGCAGGAGAAGGAGCCAGGGAGAUCAAGACAGGUAGAUCCUGAGGAACAAGGGUCACUGAGACAUUCAUCUAUAUCCACCUGGCAUUGAGGACCUUCAAAUCCUGGAUGUAUGGGGAAAGAAGGGAGGGAGUUGGCUUUCACCUGAAGGACACUGGCAGUGAAAGGCCCCAGGCUGGUCUUGGCAUUUUCCACCAUGAGCACAGGGAGAGCUGGCACAUUCAUCUACAUCCUCCUCACAAUGGGGGCCAGUAAAGCCUGUGGUCCCUCAAAGCCUACAGAACACGAGGUUGGAUUAAUCAAGAACAGUAGAAAUGUGAAAGAGAGCAGGGGCAGAGCCUUCCAAUCUGAAAGAGAGAUUCUGGCUUUCCAGUGAGAGACUGAAGAAAGCCCAGGAAAUUAAGAGACCGAACAAGAGGGCCUGGCAUUCUGGCAGGGAUCUGGAAACUGGCACCUCUCACCCAAGAAGCCCGAGGCACACCUGGGAAUAGUGGCGAGAUGAAGAGGAGACCCAUCCAAACCUCACGUCUUCCCCUUCCUGCCACAAGUCUUUCUCCCUUCUUGUUUCCCCAAACCUUGUCUUUCUUUCUCAUUCCAUCUCUUUCCAAUCCCUCCUUCCCAUCUCCCCAUGUCACCUCUUCCCUCUUCUC